GAUGAACGCUGGCGGCGUGCCUAAUACAUGCAAGUCGAGCGAACGGACGAGAAGCUUGCUUCUCUGAUGUUAGCGGCGGACGGGUGAGUAACACGUGGAUAACCUACCUAUAAGACUGGGAUAACUUCGGGAAACCGGAGCUAAUACCGGAUGAUAUUUUGAACCGCAUGGUUCAAAAGUGAAAGACGGUCUUGCUGUCACUUAUAGAUGGAUCCGCGCUGCAUUAGCUAGUUGGUAAGGUAACGGCUUACCAAGGCAACGAUGCAUAGCCGACCUGAGAGGGUGAUCGGCCACACUGGAGCUGAGACACGGUCCAGACUCCUCCGGGAGGCAGCAGUAGGGAAUCUUCCGCAAUGGGCGAAAGCCUGACGGAGCAACGCCGCGUGAGCGAUGAAGGUCUUCGGAUCGUAAAACUCUGUUAUUAGGGAAGAACAUAUGUGUAAGUAACUGUGCACAUCUUGACGGUACCUAAUCAGAAAGCCACGGCUAACUACGUG
rnacentral:rRNA from 1 species